rnacentral:rRNA from 1 species
GACGAACGCUGGCGGCGUGCCUAAUACAUGCAAGUUGAGCGAUGAAGAUUGGUGCUUGCACCAAUUUGAAGAGCAGCGCACGGGUGAGUAACGCGUGGGGAAUCUGCCUUUGAGCGGGGGACAACAUUUGGAAACGAAUGCUAAUACCGCAUAACAACUUUAAACAUAAGUUUUAAGUUUGAAAGAUGCAAUUGCAUCACUCAAAGAUGAUCCCGCGUUGUAUUAGCUAGUUGGUGAGGUAAAGGCUCACCAAGGCGAUGAUACAUAGCCGACCUGAGAGGGUGAGCGGCCGCAUUGGGACGGAGACACGGCCCAAACGCCUACGGGAGGCAGCAGUAGGGAAUCUUCGGCAAUGGACGAAAGUCUGACCGAGCAACGCCGCGUGAGUGAAGAAGGUUUUCGGAUCGGAAAACUCUGUUGGUAGAGAAGAACGUUGGUGAGAGUGGAAAGCUCAUCAAGUGACGGUAACUACCCAGAAAGGGACGGCUAACUACGUG